rnacentral:lncRNA from 1 species
CCGCCUCCAACAUAUUUUCAAAAGCUUUAAAAAAUAGCUGAACCGACAUAUUUUUUGUGUGUUACCUUAUUUACUGGGAUGUUUUAAACGUGGCAUUAACAAUAUAGACAAAUGCUAAGUGUGACGUUCAUUCAGGGGUGCCAUCAUAGGUACGAAGAGAAAAAAGGUCACACCGAACCUUAUCCGACUUUUGGGCCGGCCUCAAUUUUUUCAACAUUAUAGUUAGGCCAAGUUGCACCCAUAAAACUAGGAUUUUGUCGGUCUUUAAUUGUCAGGCCCAUUCGGAUUUCAUUUUUUUAUUUUCUGGUUGAUUUUUUUAAAGAUGCCUCUGAUUGGUUUUUAAUUGCAUUACUGAUUUUUCAAAAGUUUGUAAAUUUCUUCUAUGAGUUCAUCUCUGAUAGACCCACAGUGGUUUUAGUUUGUCUAUAGUGUUAACCUCUCCGGACAGGUGCAAAAAAAUGGAUUUCCAAUGACACAUUGGAUUUGUAGAUGAAGAAGAAAUGCUACAAAACAAUGCAUUUUGAACAUAAAAUUAUAAACCUUAACAUAAUACUAAACAACGGAGUAUUUUUAAUUUCCAGAACAUUUUGUUACAUAAUAUAUUGC